GAGAACCGGAACACAGGUGCUGCAUGGCUGUCGUCAGCUCGUGUCGUGAGAUGUUGGGUUAAGUCCCGCAACGAGCGCAACCCUCGACCUUAGUUGCCAGCAUUCAGUUGGGCACGUCUAAGGUGACUGCCGGCUAAAAGUCGGAGGAAGGUGGGGAUGACGUCAAAUCAUCAUGCCCCUUAUGACCUGGGCUACACACGUGCUACAAUGGUUGGUACAACGAGUUGCGAGUCGGUGACGGCGAGCUAAUCUCUUAAAGCCAAUCUCAGUUCGGAUUGUAGGCUGCAACUCGCCUACAUGAAGUCGGAAUCGCUAGUAAUCGCGGAUCAGCACGCCGCGGUGAAUACGUUCCCGGGCCUU
rnacentral:rRNA from 1 species